UACAGAGGGGGCAAGCGUUAUUCGGAAUUAUUGGGCGUAAAGGGCGCGUAGGCGGCUUGGCAAGUGGAUGGUGAAAUCCCUCGGCUUAACCGGGGAACUGCCGUCCAAACUGCUUCGCUUGAGACCGGGAGAGGUGAGUGGAAUUCCCAGUGUAGCGGUGAAAUGCGUAGAUAUUGGGAGGAACACCAGUGGCGAAGGCGGCUCACUGGACCGGUACUGACGCUGAAGCGCGAAAGCGUGGGGAGCAAACGGG
rnacentral:rRNA from 1 species